rnacentral:rRNA from 1 species
AUAGCGUAUAUUAAAGUUGCUGCAGUUAAAAAGCUCGUAGUUGGAUUUCGGGCGGGUGCUGCCGGUCCGCCCUUUGGGUGUGCACCGGUUGCGCCCGUCCUGCUGCCGGGGACGGGUGCCUGGGCUUCACUGUCCGGGUCCUGGAGUCGGUGAGGUUACUUUGAGUAAAUUAGAGUGUUCAAAGCAGGCCUACGCUCUGAAUACAUUAGCAUGGAAUAACACGAUAGGACUCUGGCCUAUCCCGUUGGUCUGUGGGACCGGAGUAAUGAUUAAGAGGGACAGUCGGGGGCAUUCGUAUUUCAUUGUCAGAGGUGAAAUUCUUGGAUUUAUGAAAGACGAACUUCUG